UGGACCCAAAAAGAGUCUCACAUCUCAGUGACCCCUGUUUCAGGUGCAGUGAGAAGUCAGUGCUGAACACCCGGAGGGCUGUACUUACUCACUGAACCAGCCUGGGCUAGAGACGUGGAAAAAUGCCACCCACACCUCCAGAGGGAGCAUCUGCUAUGUUGCAGUCCACCUCCAAGCAACAUUCAAACCUGAAAGGGACUUAAUUGCCUCUUAAUGCUGCCGUCAGAAUUUCACAUAGGACGUUAUGGACUAAGCUGCUACCAACCAUCAACUUUUUCCUAACUCAGUUGAAGUUUGUAACUCCACCAAAGGAAAUAAUAAAGCAUUCUCCAGCAUCUCCGCAUACGCUGAAACGAACAGUGUGUUCAUGUGUAGGAUCACUCAUACUAAAGCAGCACAUAGUUAAGAAUAAGUUAUGUUUCAAGCAUAAUGCUGUGGGUUAAAUAGAUCUUGAGUCUGCAUAAGAAAAGAAUAAAAAGAAAAUCAAGUUCUGUGAUGGUACUAAUUUGUAGCCAACUACCCAUUUCUAAGCUUAUUUACUUCAAAGUUUCUUAUUUACGAGUGCUAUCCUGCUGAAAGAGAAAACCUCUGUAAUUAAGUUCUUACAAAACAAGGUGCAUAAUUUACAGCUGAGAACUGGUUAGUUAGAGACUUUUAUUCCUAUUCAUCAAUCAAUUAGAGAACAGUUUCAAUGUAUUGACAAUGUUUGAAAUCAUUCUAUUUUAUGUGAACAUAAAGCAGCAUAUGAAUUGUUUA